GUAUCAAUGGACACAAUCAGGUAGAUGUAUCAAUGGACACAAUCAGGUAGACGUGUCAAUGGACACAAUCAGGUAGAUGUAUCAAUGGACACAAUCAGGUAGAUGUAUCAAUGGACACAAUCAGGUAGACGUAUCAAUGGACACAAUCAGGUAGAUGUAUCAAUGGACACAAUCAGGUAGAUGUAUCAAUGGACACAAUCAGGUAGACGUAUCAAUGGACACAAUCAGGUAGAUGUAUCAAUGGACACAAUCAGUAGACAAAUCAAUUUAUAAACUUCUAUGAAUGGGAGAUAAGGAAAUACAAAUGUUGUUAUCAAUGCUGAUUAUCAAAACUAUUGAUGGGAAAAAAACCUAACUUUAAUAACAAUGAAGAAAAUAUCUACAAAGUAUUUUGUCAUUUUUAAAAUAUUUUUGCAUGCAUGGUAAUAUAACUAUUUACAAAAGAAACAAAAUCAAUAUAUACAACCCUAUCUUUAACUGUAUAUAAAAAUAUCACAAUAUAUGAUACAUUGACCAUAUGCAAAAACUACACUACCUGAAUAUCUUUCUGACAUGUUUGUGCCCUUUUUUUUUCAUUUCUAAAUUUGUUUGAAGCAGCUAGCGAAUUCUAAUCCAUAACCUCUUUGAUAAAAACACUUCAAUUUUAAAAUGCACAUUAUUCUAAAUUAAGCAGCAUUGUAAAGUAGUUCAAGUUACAUUAUUCCUUUUGGUCUUGUGAAUUAAAACUGGCUUUGAACUUCUUGUUGUUAUACAACUAUACAAAAUUAUAGCUACAGUGAUAUUAUAAGUUUUGCCUUGGGGUGUACUAGGGUUACUUCAGGGUGUUAAAAUACCCAUAUCUGCAGAUAUGAAUGCAGAUUACAAAUUUAUCCCCGGUCUUAAAUGAAUCGGGAAAUUCAGGCACAAAGUGUAACGUGAAAGCAAUGUUUUUUUUAUUAUUUAAAAAAGUUUAGUUGAAAUUUGAAGAUUUUUUUUACAGGGUGUACCAAAGGUAGUCAAAUAUAAGACGUUUUAAUCCAGAGACAGAGAACUAGAAUAAAUCAAAUUUGGUGCUCAAUGUCGAGAGCACUAUAUCACAGACUGUGACGUCAAAUUCGGUCAUUUGCAUUACUAGGUCAGUAGUCCUGUUCACUGUCUACAUGGUAGCCACUAAAAUGAAUGUUAAUGAUCAGAAUAAUAGGAUAAAAUCGAUACUGGAUUGCAUAUUUAAUUACAGACAUCAUGAAUUAUCUAUAGAAUUCAAUUUUUCUAUGGGAACAACCACCGAACUAGGAAAAAGGGUUUGUAAUUCCCCAGAGUAAUACCUUUUUCAAAAUCUCCAUGGGGGAUUUUUUAAAGCACAAGAGGACCAAAUGCUCCUCUUAUAUUGUCAUGUUUUAAAUCUACAUCUUUAUUGUUUGAAUGAGUAUGUAUGUGCUUAAAUACCCUUUAUCUCAUCUAAAUGUCUAUUUUGAGGUGUUCAGUUUAUAUAAUAAAGUUUUCAAAGUCAG